rnacentral:rRNA from 2 species
UUAGAGUUUGAUCCUGGCUCAGGACGAACGCUGGCGGCGUGCCUAAUACAUGCAAGUCGAACGAACUCUGGUAUUGAUUGGUGCUUGCAUCAUGAUUUACAUUUGAGUGAGUGGCGAACUGGUGAGUAACACGUGGGAAACCUGCCCAGAAGCGGGGGAUAACACCUGGAAACAGAUGCUAAUACCGCAUAACAACUUGGACCGCAUGGUCCGAGUUUGAAAGAUGGCUUCGGCUAUCACUUUUGGAUGGUCCCGCGGCGUAUUAGCUAGAUGGUGNGGUAACGGCUCACCAUGGCAAUGAUACGUAGCCGACCUGAGAGGGUAAUCGGCCACCAUUGGACU